rfam:Picea glauca, whole genome shotgun sequence.
GUACAUGAAUACAACAAAGCGUUAAUGCACCAAAUCCCAUUAGAACUCUGCAUUUAAGCGCACUUAGGCUAGAGUAGUACUAGGAUGGGUGACCACCCAGGAAGUCCUACUAUUUUAUAUGCC